GCGCAUGUGGCGUAAUGGUAGCCGCGCUGCUUUCAGGUGGCAGUGAUCGCAAGGUCGUGGGGGUUCGAGUCCCUUCAUGCGCA
rnacentral:tRNA from 1 species